rnacentral:rRNA from 1 species
AGUGAACGCUGGCGGUAGGCCUAACACAUGCAAGUCGAACGGCAGCACAGUAAGAGCUUGCUCUUACGGGUGGCGAGUGGCGGACGGGUGAGGAAUACAUCGGAAUCUACUUUUUCGUGGGGGAUAACGUAGGGAAACUUACGCUAACACCGCAUACGACCUACGGGUGAAAGCAGGGGAUCUUCGGACCUUGCGCGAUUGAAUGAGCCGAUGUCGGUUUAGCUAGUUGGCGGGGUAAAGGCCCACCAAGGCGACGAUCCGUAGCUGGUCUGAGAGGAUGAGCAGCCACACUGGAACUGAGACACGGUCCAGACUCCUACGGGAGGCAGCAGUGGGGAAUAUUGGAAAAUGGGCGCAAGCCUGAUCCAGCCAUACCGCGUGGGUGAAGAAGGCCUUCGGGUUGUAAAGCCCUUUUGUUGGGAAAGAAAAGCAGCAGGUUAAUACCCCGCUGUUCUGACGGUACCCAAAGAAUAAGCACCGGCUAACUUCGU